AAAAUCAAUUUAGCCAUUCAUUUAAACUUUCUUCUAUUUUAGCUAUUAAACUUGUAUUAUUUGUCAAAUCACCUAAAAAUAGAUGAAAAAGUUAACAUUGUUGAUGUGACAUACAUGUGAAUUGCUACGUGGAUGCCAUGUCAACAAUUAAUUAGUUUUUAAAUUUUAAAAAAAUUCAAAAUAAUAUAUAAAAAUUAUUUUAAAAAUUAUAAAAUGUAUUUUUAAAUUUUAAAAAUAAUUAGUUAAUUGCAAACGUGGUGUAUACUGCGUCAACAAAGUUAACAAACAUUAACUUCUAGCUAUUUUGGGUGAUUUGACAAGCAAUGCAAGUUUAUGAGCUAAAAGAGACGAAAAAUUAAAUGGAGGGCUAAAAUAUAUUU
rnacentral:pre_miRNA from 1 species